CUCACAGGUUUAAUCUCUUCAAAUGGGAGGAUCGCUCCCCAAAAAGAAAUGCUAUGGCGCUAUUGGGGGAAACAAGUAGAGAGCGGAGCCUAUCAACAGCGGGGGUGAAGGAGGGUACUUCCGCUUGGAUUGGCCAAUCGCUGAGGUGGGGCAGUUUCUAUAAAAGGUUGAACCUCAGCCUUUCUCUUUCUUUCCGGAUAAAUUUCAAUGCUGGGCGGAGUGUUCUCUGUGUGCUACGCUUGGAGAGGAAUUGAGCACCCAGUGAAGCUGCGAAGCUGCGGGGGUCGCCCAGCCCGGGGGCCAGCCGCGGCCUGAGCGCCUCUGUGGCCCUCGGCAUUGUAGCGAAUUCCUUCCCUGCUCCCCUCCCCAGUUCCGGCAGAGAAGUCGGGACCUCAGGACCUACGGCUCCCUACAAGUGCCAUCGGUGGCCUGGUUGGAGACUUUGAAUGUAAAUCAACAUCAAUCAGUUCAGGGACCUGGUGGUCAACACUGGACUCCAGGACGACCUUACAACCCCUGGCUGACCCCGCAAGCAAUUUUACAGUAUUUUCCGGCGUAUAAGACGACUUUUGGGGG